UGGCUGAUGAUCGGGGUUGAAUGUACAGAGAACCCUGACAUUGGGAGACAUUACUAAACGGGGUCAAUGGUUUUCUUGAUAAAGCGGAGGAGGACAUGAGAAUCGGGCAAAAGAAGUUUGCACAACGGGACAAUAUUUUCGACCACUUGAUCACACAUGGAUUCAAAAAGAAAUAUACGUGUUGGAAUAGGCACGGCGAGGAAGGCAAUAAUGAAGGUGAAGCAGAAUGCCUUAAUGAAGGUGAAUCGCUACGCCAUGCUCGAGGCCUUAAUGAAGGGGCAGCGCGACGCCAUGAUGAUGAAGCCCUUAAUGAAGGGGAAGAAUGCGGAAGUUUUGGGAAGAAGAAUGCAGAAACUUUGGGGAAGAUGAAUCAUUCCCGCCCGAAGAUCUCACUGAACAAGAAAUUUCUGGCUUCAAUGAUGAUGAUGUGCAAGCCCGUGUGGACAGCGUUGAUGAAAUGGUGAGGGAUGCUGAGUUCCAAGGGGUGUACACAUCUUCUGAACUAGCGAGACUGAAACAACUAAUUGAAGAUUCAAAGAAAGUACUAUAUCCUGGUUGUGCCAAGUACUCUCGCCUUUCUGGUGGCCUCAAGCUUUUGCAGUUGAAGGCAGAUCAUGGUUGGACUGACAAAAGUUUCAAACAACUCUCGGAUUCGCUAAAAGACAUGCUAUCAAAGGGGAACCAAGUGGCUGAGUCUGUCUACGAGGCCAAGAAGAUAAUUUGUCCUUUGGGUUUAGAGGUUGAAAGAAUCCAUGCAUGUAAGAAUAGUUGUGUUCUGUUUCGUGGAGAUUAUGAGGACCUUGACAAUUGCCCUAAGUGUGGGUAUCAUCGAUACAAGAGGAAAAGAGAUGGUGAUAAUGGCGAUGACGUCGAUGAUGGGGGUCAUAUGAUCAAAGGCAAGAAAGGUAACCGAGUGGGUCCUGUGCGGGUGGCAUGGUAUUUCCCAAUCAUUUUCCGCUUGAAACGUAUGUUUGCCACACGAAAGGAGGCCCGGCUCUUGCGUUGGCAUAAGGAAGGAUGAAAGAAGGAGCCAAAUAAGCUUAGGCACCCAACAGAUGCAGCACGGUGGGGUAACAUUGAUUCCCACUAUGGUUGGUUUGCCGAUGAUUGCAGGAACAUUCGGUUCGCAAUGAGCACAGAUGGUGUGAACCUAUUUGGUAACCAGAGUUCAACGCAUAGCACCUGGCCUAUUGUACUGACAAUUUACAACCUUCCACCCUGGCUAUGCAAGAAACAAAAAAAAUGAUGCUGACAAUCUUGGUAUACGGUCCAAAGCAACCCGGUGACCUAAUUGAUGUCUACUUGAGGUCUUUAGUUGAUGACUUGAAGACACUUUGGAAGCUUGGUGUGAAGGAGAUUUGUGAUGAGUUCAAGCAUGAGCGCUUUACAUUGCACGACAUGUUGUUCACCACCAUCAACGACAAUCCAGCUCAUCGCAACUUGUCCGAGCAGAGUAAAAGAAAGGGUAAAGCUUGCCCCCAUUCCUUAGAUGAAACCUGCUCGUUGUGGCUGAGAAACUCGAAGAAAUUUUUAUUUAUGGGGCAUCGUCGUUUCCUCCGCAAGAAACAUCCAUAUGGGAACAUGGAUGGUCAGUUUGAUGGAAGAAAGGAGAAUCGAACGGUGCCUCCGUAUGUGUGUGGAAUGGAGGUCCACUUGCAAGUGAAAGACAUAAAAACUAUGGAGGAAUUAUCGAAAAAGACCAUCCUUGGCAAAAGAAAGAAGUGAGAUGGUGAAGAAGAAGAUGUGCAAGGGACAUGGAAGAAGAAAUCAAUACUAUGGGAGCUAGAGUACUGUGAGUUGUUGGAUGUUCAUCACUCGAUUGACAACAUGCACAUCAAGAAGAAAUCAGUAACGGGCGUUACCACUAUGCCUAUUACGUAUGACACAAUUCACAGAACACUUAACAUAUAUGGCACAUAUGGUCUGAUGCAUUCCCAUUCUAUCAGGCAUUUAGCAGAAAUCAUAGAUGACAGAUGACACAAGAUAUUCAAGCAUUCCCAGAAGUUCAUUUUCACUGACAUAACACAUAUAACACAUAUAUACACACAUCACACAAACACAUAUAUCAUUAGGAGGAACACAUGUCUAGAGAGUGUUAUAUGAUCCUUAGUGGGCACAGACAUGGACAAAAUUUGUGUGCCCUAUCCACUUCAACCCUAAAUGUUGCAACUA